AGGAUGAACGCUAGCGACAGGCUUAACACAUGCAAGUCGAGGGGCAGCACAGGUAGCAAUACCGGGUGGCGACCGGCGCACGGGUGAGUAACGCGUAUGCAACUUGCCUAUCAGAGGGGGAUAACCCGGCGAAAGUCGGACUAAUACCGCAUGAAGCAGGGAUCCCGCAUGGGAAUAUUUGCUAAAGAUUCAUCGCUGAUAGAUAGGCAUGCGUUCCAUUAGGCAGUUGGCGGGGUAACGGCCCACCAAACCGACGAUGGAUAGGGGUUCUGAGAGGAAGGUCCCCCACAUUGGUACUGAGACACGGACCAAACUCCUACGGGAGGCAGCAGUGAGGAAUAUUGGUCAAUGGCCGAGAGGCUGAACCAGCCAAGUCGCGUGAGGGAUGAAGGUUCUAUGGAUCGUAAACCUCUUUUAUAAGGGAAUAAAGUGCGGGACGUGUCCCGUUUUGUAUGUACCUUGUGAAUAAGGAUCGGCUAACUCCGUGCCAGCAGCCGCGGUAAUACGGAGGAUCCGAGCGUUAUCCGGAUUUAUUGGGUUUAAAGGGUGCGUAGGCGGCCUUUUAAGUCAGCGGUGAAAGUCUGUGGCUCAACCAUAGAAUUGCCGUUGAAACUGGGGGGCUUGAGUAUGUUUGAGGCAGGCGGAAUGCGUGGUGUAGCGGUGAAAUGCAUAGAUAUCACGCAGAACCCCGAUUGCGAAGGCAGCCUGCCAAGCCAUGACUGACGCUGAUGCACGAAAGCGUGGGGAUCAAACAGGAUUAGAUACCCCGGUAGUCCACGCAGUAAACGAUGAUCACUAGCUGUUUGCGAUACACUGUAAGCGGCACAGCGAAAGCGUUAAGUGAUCCACCUGGGGAGUACGCCGGCAACGGUGAAACUCAAAGGAAUUGACGGGGGCCCGCACAAGCGGAGGAACAUGUGGUUUAAUUCGAUGAUACGCGAGGAACCUUACCCGGGUUUGAACGCAUUCGGACCGAGGUGGAAACACCUUUUCUAGCAAUAGCCGUUUGCGAGGUGCUGCAUGGUUGUCGUCAGCUCGUGCCGUGAGGUGUCGGCUUAAGUGCCAUAACGAGCGCAACCCUUGCCACUAGUUACUAACAGGUAAAGCUGAGGACUCUGGUGGGACUGCCAGCGUAAGCUGCGAGGAAGGCGGGGAUGACGUCAAAUCAGCACGGCCCUUACAUCCGGGGCGACACACGUGUUACAAUGGCGUGGACAAAGGGAAGCCACCUGGCGACAGGGAGCGAAUCCCCAAACCACGUCUCAGUUCGGAUCGGAGUCUGCAACCCGACUCCGUGAAGCUGGAUUCGCUAGUAAUCGCGCAUCAGCCAUGGCGCGGUGAAUACGUUCCCGGGCCUUGUACACACCGCCCGUCAAGCCAUGGGAGCCGGGGGUACCUGAAGUCCGUAACCGCGAGGAUCGGCCUAGGGU
rnacentral:rRNA from 1 species